rnacentral:antisense_RNA from 1 species
GUCUCCGCCAUAGGCCUGCGCCGCCUCGGGGCCGGGGUCAGGGAGCUCCUGCCUGCCUGGAUGAAGAGGAGGUCAAGACUUUGUCCCCCACUCCCCAAGAUACCCUCUCUGUUCCGGAUCGGUGGGUCCCUCCCCUGUUAGGACCUUGUCUCCCUCAGGACUGGACCUGGAUCCUGGGCCUGCAGUCAGAUUGCCAGUUUCACUUAGAGGUGGAAAUGUCAACCCACUGGUUGGAAUGGGAAGAUGAGACGGGAUUUCACCAUGUUAGCCAGGAUGGUCUUGAUCUCCUGACCUCAUGAUCUGCCCACCUCGGCCUCCCAAAGUGCUGGGCUUACAGGCGUGAGCCACCGUGCCCGGCCAAAAAUAACUUUUAAAAACAUGAGUAUAGCAUACACACACACAAAAGUCCACAAAUCCUAAGUGUACCACUUGAUGAAUGAUCCCAACAUGAGCACACCUCUGGAUUACCACCUGGAUCAAGAAAUAGGACAUCACAGCAGCUGGCAGCUUCCAAGGAGAAGCUCUGGAAAGUUCUGCCUGUCUCAGCACCUGACUGGAUCGGAAACGA